rnacentral:rRNA from 1 species
UACGUAGGGGGCAAGCGUUGUCCGGAAUCAUUGGGCGUAAAGAGCGUGUAGGCGGCUCGGUAAGUCCGCUCUGAAAGCCCGGGGCUCAACCCCGGGAGGCGGGCGGAUACUGUCGGGCUAGAGUCCGGAAGAGGCGAGUGGAAUUCCCGGUGUAGCGGUGAAAUGCGCAGAUAUCGGGAGGAACACCAAUGGCGAAGGCAGCUCGCUGGGACGGUACUGACGCUGAGACGCGAAAGCGUGGGGAGCAAACAGG